ensembl:lncRNA novel transcript
AAGGUAAAAUUUCCCACUGCGAGGCAGGCAGUGAUGCUGCGGCCGCUUCGCACUGUGGCUCCUGCCGACCGCCAGGCGCUGUUACAGUGGAUGCGAACUAACCAUGCAGCAGCAGCCGGAACCCACAGUUCACCUUGGUGCAUUCCUUUAUGAUGAAGACUUAUUGAUUCAUUAUAUGAGAAAGGAAAAAUGAGCAGAAACUACUGUAUGAUGUGCAGCUCACACCAGACAGCAACUUUAGGUAGGCACUUAGGGUUAUCUUUCCAGUUCAGCAGUGCAACUCUAUGGAGUAGAAUUGAAAGGAGACUUUUCGCCAAUUGCAGGAAAUGGUCAUAAAAAAAUACCUGCUCACUGACAGAAUAAAGGUACCUUUUAACUUA